rnacentral:lncRNA from 1 species
CCACUAGAGAAUACCUAGGAAAAAUAGGUAUAAAUAUUAACACGAAUUGCGCAAUUUGUAAAACAAAAGAAUCUCCCAUUCAUAUAUUUUGGGAGUGUGAAAUAGCCAAAAAAUUUUGGGCCACCAUAGGAGUACCUUUCACCAACCCUAGGCCUCAAGAAAACUGGUUAGACUUCCUUAAAGGAAAAUUUACUCAAGUCAGGCAUAUCGAAGUGAGAUGAUUUAAUGCCUUUCCUUUCGUCUUGUGGUCCAUUUGGAAAAAUAGAAAUGAUAACAAUAAAAAUAAUACAAAGAAUAUGAUAAAUACUAGUAAAAUUUUCAAACAAAUAAUGGAAUUCAAGUUACUAGCUAUUGCAACCAAAUCCACUACCACCCAGAUUAAAAUCCAAGUAAAAUGGUAUCCUCCCCUAUAGGUUGGUACAAAAUUAACUUUGAUGGUGCCUUCACUGAAGAAAAUAUGCAGGGCGGCAUAGGUGGACUGAUCCUGAUUCAUAGUGGUGAUUGGAUAGUAGGGUUCCAUGCAAGCUCGGAAAGCACAUCUCCAAUUCAUUCGAAACUAUUAGCCUUUCAACAAGCAUUACAAAUAGUCAUGCAAAGGAACCUUAUGCCUUGUGAAAUAGAGACGGAUGCUACGGAUGUAAUCCGUCUUCUGG